rnacentral:rRNA from 1 species
CAUGCAAGUCGAACGAUGAAGCCCAGCUUGCUGGGUGGAUUAGUGGCGAACGGGUGAGUAACACGUGAGUAACCUGCCCUUGACUCUGGGAUAAGCGUUGGAAACGACGUCUAAUACCGGAUACGAGCUUCCACCGCAUGGUGAGUUGCUGGAAAGAAUUUUGGUCAAGGAUGGACUCGCGGCCUAUCAGCUUGUUGGUGAGGUAAUGGCUCACCAAGGCGACGACGGGUAGCCGGCCUGAGAGGGUGACCGGCCACACUGGGACUGAGACACGGCCCAGACUCCUACGGGAGGCAGCAGUGGGGAAUAUUGCACAAUGGGCGAAAGCCUGAUGCAGCAACGCCGCGUGAGGGACGACGGCCUUCGGGUUGUAAACCUCUUUUAGCAGGGAAGAAGCGAAAGUGACGGUACCUGCAGAAAAAGCACCGGCUAACUACRUGCCAGCAGCCGCGGUAAUACGUAGGGUGCAAGCGUUGUCCGGAAUUAU